rnacentral:rRNA from 1 species
AUUGAACGCUGGCGGAAGGCCUAACACAUGCAAGUCGAACGAGUGGCAGACGGGUGAGUAAUGUCUGGGAAAAUGCCUGAUGGAGGGGGAUAACUACUGGAAACGGUAGCUGAUACCGCAUAACAUCAGAUGUGACCAGAUGGAAUUAGCUAGUUGGUGGGGUAACGGCUCACCAAGGAGACGAACCCUAGCGUGUCUUAGAGGAUGACCAGACACACUGGAACUGAGACACGGUCCAGACUCCUACGGGAGGCAGCAGUGGGGAAUAUUGCACAAUGGGCGCAAGCCUGAUGCAGCCAUGCCGCGUGUAUGAAGAAGGCCUUCGGGUUGUAAAGUACUUUCAGCGGGGAGGCGUUACCCGCAGAAGAAGCACCGGCUAACUCCGUGCCAGCAGCCGCGGUAAUUC